rfam:Micromonospora coxensis strain DSM 45161 genome assembly, chromosome: I
CUUGAUCGAGCCGAGCAGCAGCGGCGCGUGCCCGUCGCGGUCCUGCCCGUACGUGGCCAGCAACGCCUGCGCCUC